CGGCACUUGCGCCAGGUGCCUGAGACACUGCAGGGGCUGUGCCUCUGAGGCCUUCAGCAACUCCUGCUCCCUGCUGCAGCAGGACGGCGUCACGGCCAAAGUGAGGCACCAGCUCCGCAUCAUCCAUCACUUGCGCCAGGUGCCUGAGACACUGCAGGGGUUGUGCCUCUGAGGCCUUCAGCAACUCCCGCUCUCUGUUGCAGCAGGAGGACAUCACGGCCAAAGUGAUGCACCAGCAGCGCAUCAUUGCGCACUUGCGCCAGGUGCCUGAGACACUGCAGGGGCUGUGCCUCUGAGGCCAUCAGCAACUCCCGCUCCCUGCUGCAGGUACUGCUCUGGCUCACUGUAAAUGGGGAGCUAGUGGAAGGGGAAAUUGAGACCCCUGGCA
rnacentral:lncRNA from 1 species